rnacentral:rRNA from 1 species
AUCGAACGCUGGCGGCAGGCCUAACACAUGCAAGUCGAACGGUAACAGGAAGAAGCUUGCCUCUUUGCUGACGAGCGGCGGACGGGUGAGCAAUGUCUGGGAAAUUGCUUGAUGGAGGGGGAUAACUACUGGAAACGGUACUUAAUACCGCAUAACGUUGCAAGAUCAAAGAGGGGGCCUUUCGGGCCCCUUGUCAUCGGAUGUGCCCAGAUGGGAUUAGCUAGUAGGUGGGGUAACGGCUCACCUAGGCGACGACCCUUAGCCGGUCUGAGAGGCUGACCAGCCACACGGUAAGUGAGGCAGGUUCCAGACUCCGACGGGGAGAAACGGUGGAAAAUAUUGCAGGAGGGGGGAGAGCCUAAUGCAGCGAUGCCGGGGAUAUGAAGAAGGCCUUCGGGUGGGAGAAUGCUUUCGGCGGGAAGAAAGGGAGUAAAUUUAAUACCUUAGCUCAUUGACGGUACCCGCAGAAGAAGCACCGGCUAACUCCGUG